rnacentral:lncRNA from 1 species
AAGAAAAAAGGACCUUCAGAAAAAAAGAAAAUAGGACCUUUGGACAGAGACCAGAGGAGUCUACAUCAAAAACAUUUUUAAAUAAAAAGACCAUUUUAAUACCUAAAACUCAUUCCUUCUUUCCAUUUUUGCGAACACUACUUAUCUCUUCCUUUCUCCAUUCCCGCCUAUAAUUCAAGGAUUUAACCCGUAACCACCUCCCGUUAACCCAAUCAGACGACUAAUUACAGAUUCUCACUUAUGGUAAUUAGUUCCUAUCCUUUUAUGUGUUACUAUAAUUUACUCAAGUUAUUCUAUAAGAACAACUUGUUUAAUUGUGUUUUCCGUUUUGCAGCAUUAAUUUGUAAUUAAGGGCCUAAAACUUGAUAUUCAGAAACAAGAAGAAGAGAACAUCAAAUGGAUACCUGUAUCAAAGUUUGUGCUUUGUUUGUGUAUCUAUCUCUGGCUUUGAGUUGCUUCUCUCCUUUGGGAUCUGUCUCUCAACUUUUGCCUGCAGAGGAAGGUAGUUACAUUUUCUCUCC